AUACAGAGGGUGCAAGCGUUACUCGGAUUUAUUGGGCGUAAAGAGCACGUAGGCGGACUCAUAAGUCUGGUGUGAAAUCCCUCGGCUCAACCGAGGAACUGCGCUGGAAACUGUGAGUCUUGAGUACGGGAUAGGACAGUGGAAUUCCCAGUGUAGAGGUGAAAUUCGUAGAUAUUGGGAGGAACACCAGUGGCGUAGGCGACUGUCUGGACCGAUACUGACGCUGAGGUGCGAAAGCGUGGGGAGCAAACAGAAUUAGAAACCCCGGUAGUCC
rnacentral:rRNA from 1 species